AGCACAUAAUAAUGAAAGAAGAAGCAAAAGGUACUCAUGAUCCUUUCAUUCAAAGGCAAUUUGAUAAUGAAGAAGAAGGAGGUAGUUUAAGAGCAGAAAUAGUAGUUGAAGUGAAGAAGCAGAUAGGAUUAGCAGGGCCAUUGAUAGCAGUAACAUUGUUGCAGUAUUGUUUAGAAGUGAUAUCGAUCAUGUUUGUCGGUCAUCUUGGACAACUUCCUCUUUCUAGUGCUUCUAUGGCCACUACUUUUGCUUCUGUUUCUGGUUUCAGUGUCUUGUUAGGUAUGGGAAGCGCAUUGGAGACGUUAUGCGGACAAGCCUAUGGAGCUAAACAAUACCGAAUGUUAGGGAUACAGAUGCAACGAGGAAUGCUGACUCUUACGGCCCUAAGCAUCCCUCUAGCAUUUAUUUGGUUUUAUACUACCACAAUUUUCAUAUUUUUUGGUCAAGAUCAACAAAUAUCGGUUGGAGCAGGAACUUAUAUUCGUUGGAUGAUUCCAUGUUUAUUUGCAUAUGCUUUGCUACAAUGUCUGAACAGAUUUCUUCAAACACAAAAUAUGGUGGUCCCUAUGAUGAUUAUUUCUGGGGCCACAGCUUUGUUCCAUAUAUUUCUGUGUUGGAUCCUUGUCUUUAAAUCGGGACUUGAAUUCAAAGGGGCUGCAUUGGCUAAUACCAUAUCAAAUUGGAUGAAUGUGGUUUUGUUGGUAAUCUAUGUGAAGUUCUCUCCUGCUUGUAAACAUACAUGGACCGGUUUUUCAAAAGAAGCCCUGAAUGAUAUUCCUAGCUUCCUUAAACUUGCUGUAUCUUCAGCAGUUAUGAUUUGCUUGGAGUAUUGGUCAUUUGAUAUGGUUGUUCUGUUAUCUGGUCUACUCCCGAAUCCAAAGUUAGAGACAUCUGUGUUGUCAAUAAGCCUUAACACAUGUUGGAUGGUCUAUAUGAUCUCUGUGGGUCUUGGUGGGGCAAUAAGUACAAGAGUUUCAAAUGAAAUAGGGGCUGGAAGACCGAAAGCUGCACGUUUGGCUGUUUGUGUUGUAGUGGUGAUAGCAAUUUUGGAGGGGCUAAUAGUUGGCAGUGUCACUAUUUUGGUACGCCAUGUUUGGGGAAAGUUAUAUAGCAAUGAUGAAGAAGUUAUCCGAUAUGUUGCAAAAAUGAUGCCAUUGCUUGCAUUAUCAGAUUUCUUAGACGGAUUUCAGUGUGUUCUUUCAGGUGCAGCAAGAGGGUGUGGUUGGCAAAAUGUUUGUGCAGUUAUCAAUCUUGGAGCUUACUAUGCUGUGGGAAUUCCUUUUGCAUUACUCUUUGCUUUUAUCCUCCAUGUUGGAGGCAUGGGUUUAUGGAUGGGAAUCAUAUGCGCACUUUCUAUACAGGUUGUGGCGCUUGUUGUGAUUAAUUUGUCCACUAGUUGGACCGGUGAGGCUUGGAGACCAAUAAAUAUAGUUCGAACAGCCAUAGAUAUCGAAUGACGCCAAGAGCUGGCAUUUUUUGAUUUGUGUCUACUGUAUGCUCUCGAAAAACAAAUAUAUUCAAGAUACAUAAAAGUUCUAACUGAUCAUUACUACAGGAAGAACUGAUCGCUAAAUAUGAACAUCAACAUGUAUAGAACAUUAUUCUUCCUCGUUUAAUCUCUCCCUCGCCUUUGUUGCCUGCAUGUUAUAAAAGGAGCCCACAUGAACCGAGACAAACACCGUGAUAAUCAGUGUAGUUAUUUAGUGGCUUCAAGACAACAUAGACUAAAAGUAAAUGAAAGCAUAAAUACCUGUUUUUCAUAAUCUGUAAAAGUUGUUACUAGUGAAAGUAGAAUAAAUUGUAUGGUGACACCAGCUAAUAUUCCAAUCCAGAAGCCUUCUCCUCUUAGCGAGGUCCAGAAGCCUAAUAACGCAGCUACCGGGACUCCAACAAGAUAGAAUGCAGCAAGAUUCGCGUAUGCUCCUAGAUCUUGCCAUCCCACACCCCUUGCAACACCUAAUUCAUUAUUAAACAACCACCAUUCAAAUUUAUUUCAGCAAAACAAACACACAUACACAUGUCAGAAAACAUGUUUAUAAAUUAUAAUAGAAAAAGAUAGGAAAAAGGAUGAGAGGAGGUCUUGUAACCUGAAAGGGCUCCUUGUAGACUAUCCAUUACAAUGUGUAAACAGAGAAAAGGGGCAAUUUUUGCGACAUAAUCAACGACUUCCUUAUCAUUUGUAAAAA